CAUCGUCAUCGAUUUUGAUUCAAUCUCAAUUUCGUAUUCUCUCUCUCUCUCUCUCUCUCUCUCUCUCUCUCUCAAGCUCUUCAUUCCGUCGAUUCUUCUCCUCCGAGGGUUUACAAUCUUGAAUCUCCUCCUAGGGUUUACCCCUUGCUAUUUCAAGCGGUAAAUUCUCUCUCUGAUCUAGAAGUUUUUCUGUUUUACGGAACAUCUUGAAUCCCAAUGUCAUAUAUUCUGCAUUGUUUGGUUAAUUGCUAUGCCUCUUAGUUUAGUUUAGUUGGACAAUGUUCUUAUGAUGAUUUAAUGUGAUGUACUUUUUUGUUGUCUCUUGCUUCGGAUGUUGUUGAGCUAUGGAUGAUCACAAAGUGAUCAAAACUUUUGAUCGCUUGAAGAGAUUGAGAACAUUUUGCAACUUUGGCCAUGUUAAUUUUCCAUGUAAACUAAUUUUUAUUUUCUCUAGGCUAUGUUUGGAUCUUGUAUUUGUGGAGAGAAAAGUGAAUGAAGUAAGAGCUAAAUUAUUUAGGCAUCCACAUAAAGUGGGGGGUGCUUACCAUUUAUGCCUAGCACUCUAUCGAGGAUACUAAUUCAUGUGCUCAAUUGGUUUGGCUUCUACUCUAACCCCUUGAAUGGGUAUGAGGGUAAUUUGGAUCUAAUAUACAAUACUUGCUCUAAAUCUCUGCUCCAAUUAGGUUAUAAUGCACUUAUGCUUUUCCAUAUUGAUGAAGUAAAAACCACAAUUUGAAUUGGGAAUGAAGGUAAACUAUGUAGAUAAGGAAAUAUCUUGGGUUAGAGCUUCUUAGCAAUUAUGUUAGGUUUCUCUUGAACUCAUAAAAUGGCUAAAAUUUUAGUUUUAUUUGUUUAACAUCAGGGCUUAUGAUGAAAGGUAUCGUGUAAUGGUUAAGUAAUCAAGUUGUAUAUAGAAAAUGUGAAGUUCAGUAUAAUUUUUACUUUUGCGCAAUUUAAUGUUAUCUACUAAGUUUUUGUUGCAUGAUAAUCAUUAACCAGUCUUUACCUUUUGAUGAUUAAUUUUUGCAUGCUCUAGGGCCUUUACAAGCUAUCUGUCUCCACAGACCAGACGCCUACUAUAAGCCUUAUAAAUUUCCAAGUAAACCUGUACUUUAGUUAGGCUUAGAUGGGUUGCCCUUUUUUGUUUUGUUUCAUUUUCUUUUAAUGGAGUGCAUUUACUCUCUCUCUCUCUCUCUCUCCCUCUCAUCUUUAGAGUGGUUGCUCUUUUCUGUUUUGUUUCAUUGUCUUUUAAUGGAGUGCAUUUCCUCUCUAUCUCUCUCUCUCUCUCUCUCUCACAGUUUACUUGCUCAUUGCACUAACAUCACUUUGUACUCAUCCUUAUAAGUGCUAUAAUAAGAACUGCGCUGUUUGUUACAAAUCCUGUCCUUUUCGAUAGGGAAUGGUGGACAGGCUGAUUAGUCGAAUCGAAAAAUCUGUGAGAAACACUGUUGGGUGUCAAAUAUGAAUGCAUGAGGUGACAUGGGAGUGGCCUAGGUAGAUUUUGGUUGAGUGCUAAGAUAUUCAUCAAAAAAAAAAAAACUUCAUUGAUUUAAUAUGAUGUUUAGCAAAGCAUAUACAUAAGUUAUUUGUUUAUCAGAGUUCUCCUUACUGUUAUAUUGUUAGCUGCUCUUAUUCCAUCGUAGCAAGGUUUUGAAGCAUAUUUAAGGUUGCUAUGCAAAUAUUUCAAGUGCCACCCCCUUUGGUUGUUUGAAAAUAAGGUUCAUUUAUCGAUCUUGUAUUAAGUUGUCAAGUAGGUUACUUAAAGUGAUGAUCUUACUAAUUUUAUAAUUCGAUCGGAUAGAUAGAUCUUGAACUUAGUAUUACAUUGUUAUUGGCACUUUAUGAAGUGGCUUUUUGUAUUCUCUAUUGCUUAGCACUCUCUCUUUGUUAAUCAUUCUUCGAACGUGGUUUACAGUGUGCUAGUCAUUUGUUAACACACAAUCAUAUCUGAGAGGCAAAAUCCUCCCCUGGCUACUUUUGGUUUGUCCAUGGUAAUACCAUGCAAAUUACUGUAAUUGGUCCAUCAUUUUCUCAGUGCCGUAGAAUCUUGCUGAGUUCUUUAAUUGUUUCGGUCAUAUGAUUAAUUAUAUUGUGCUAUAGCUAUAUUUAUGUCAUCUGUUGCUUAUGGAAAUGAAGUUUUUCACUUCUUUGUCUUAGGGUUCCUUGAUUUAUCUUCCAUGGUCCUUGAUAUUAAUUGAUUGCUAGUUGCAGAAUUAUCUAAAACAACAAUUAUCUAAAACCUUGUCAUCGAGCAGUUCGUAGUCUAGAGCGGAUCUACUGACACUUGGUUUGGCAGUAACGAAUAUUCUAACUGGUUUGGUAUGGCUGUCAAUCCGACCAAAAACUACAUUAGUGGUAAAUCCUGAAGGCGUGGAGUGUUAAAGGAUAAAUCUCAUCUUCCUGAUUUUUUAGUUUCUGAGUUACUAUGGGCUGAUGGCCCUAAAUUUUUGUGAUGUCAUGCGACAAUGGAUUUUUCCUUAAGGCUAUGAAGAUAAACAUGUAGAUGUGCAGGUUGUUGAGUUUGCCCUGGCUUUGCAGGAAUCUGGAUGCUUUUAUGUUCUUCUGGAAUGUGUGCCUGCAUCUGUUGCUGCUGUUACAACAUUUGCUCUUCGAAUCCCUACAAUUGGUAUUGGGACAAGGCCUUUUUGUAUUGGCCAAGUUAAUUGAUUCUUUAGCUCUCUCUACUACUCCUAAUAAUGAAUUAGACUUGACUGGCUUGUGUUGUGUAUAAUUUUUUGCUUUCAUUUGUACAUAUAAUUUGCUAUCUAAUCUUGUAAUUUGCUUUUCAAGUACUAAAGUGGGCAUCUUAAUGAUAUUACGUGUUCAUAUA